rnacentral:rRNA from 1 species
AUGGCCACAGUCCUACUCGACGGCUCCAACCCGGCGGUGGUUCGCGUGCGGCAGCUCAUCGACGGCACCGAAUCUUCAGAUGGGUGGACCAGGUGCUGGGAAGAAGGCCUGACGCCGUGGGACCUCGGCGAGCCCACCCCGGCCGUCGUCGAGCUCGUCAAGUCCGGCACCCUCCCCGGCGGCGGCGGCACCACCGCCACCGUCCUCGUCCCGGGAUGCGGCGGGGGGUACGACGCGGUAGCUCUGUCCGGCGCCGGACGCUUUGUCGUCGGCCUCGACGUCUGCGACGCCGCCAUCCAAAAGGCCAGACAGUGGUCGUCGAUAUCGCCGGACGGGAACUUCAUCGCCUUCGUCAACGCCGAUUUCUUCACCUGGGAGCCACCCAAGCCAUUCCAUCUCAUCUUCGACUACACAUUCUUCUGUGCUAUUGAUCCAUCCUUGAGAUCAGCAUGGGCAAGGAGAAUGUACGACCUACUCCGACCAGAUGGAGAACUCAUCACCCUCAUGUACCUGGUUGAAGGCCAGGAGUCCGGGCCACCAUUCAACGCCACUGUGCUCGACUAUGAGGAGGUGCUGAAUCCCUUGGGUUUCGUCAUUGUCUCCAUUGAAGACAAUGGAGUGGCCGUUGAAGCAAGAAAGGGGAUGGAGAAAAUGGCAAGGUGGAAGAAGAUGGCAAACUGA